rnacentral:rRNA from 1 species
CAGCCGCCACGGUAAUACGGAGGGUGCAAGCGUUACUCGGAAUCACUGGGCGUAAAGGACGCGUAGGCGGAUUAUCAAGUCUCUUGUGAAACCUAACGGCUUAACCGUUAAACUGCUUGGGAAACUGAUAAUCUAGAGUAAGGGAGAGGCAGAUGGAAUUCUUGGUGUAGGGGUAAAAUCCGUAGAUAUCAAGAAGAAUACCUAUUGCGAAGGCGAUCUGCUGGAACUUAACUGACGCUAAUGCGUGAAAGCGUGGGAGCAAACAGGAUUAGAUACCCGAGUAGUCCCUGUCUCUUAUACA